rnacentral:rRNA from 1 species
UACGUAGGGGGCAAGCGUUGUCCGGAUUUACUGGGCGUAAAGAGCGUGUAGGCGGCCAAGCAGGUCCGUUGUGAAAACUGGAGGCUUAACCUCCAGACGUCGACGGAAACCGCGUGGCUAGAGUCCGGAAGAGGAGAGUGGAAUUCCUGGUGUAGCGGUGAAAUGCGCAGAUAUCAGGAAGAACACCAAUGGCGAAGGCAGCUCUCGUGGGACGGUACUGACGCUGAGACGCGAAAGCGUGGGGAGCGAACAGG